UGGGGCGUGGCCAAGUGGUAAGGCAUGGGUUUUAGUCCCGUUAUUCGGAGGGUUGAAUCCUUCUGUCCCAG
rnacentral:tRNA from 1 species